CCUACGGGUGGCAGCAGUCGAGAAUCAUUCACAAUGGGCGCAACCCUGAUGCUGCGACGCCGCGUGGGGGAAUGCAGGUCUUCGGAUUGUAAACCCCUGUCAUGUGGGAGCAAAUUAAAAAGAUAGUACCACAAGAGGAAUAGACGGCUAACUCUGUGCCAGCAGCCGCGGUAAUACAGAGGUCUCAAGAGUUGUUCGGAAUCACUGGGCGUAAAGGGUGCGUAGGCUGUUUCGUAAGUCGUGUGUGAAAGGCGCGGGCUCAACCCGCGGACGGCACAUGAUACUGCGAGACUAGAGUAAUGGAGGGGGAACCGGAAUUCGCGGUGUAGCAGUGAAAUGCGUAGAUAUCGAGAGGAACACUCGUGGCGAAGGCGGGUUCCUGGACAUUAACUGACGCUGAGGCACGAAGGCCAGGGGAGCGAAAGGGAUUAGAUACCCUGGUAGUC
rnacentral:rRNA from 1 species